UACGGAGGAUCCAAGCGUUAUCCGGAUUUAUUGGGUUUAAAGGGUGCGUAGGCGGUUCUUUAAGUCAGGGGUGAAAGACGGUAGCUUAACUAUCGCAGUGCCUUUGAUACUGAAGAACUUGAAUACACUUGAGGUAGGCGGAAUGUGACAAGUAGCGGUGAAAUGCAUAGAUAUGUCACAGAACACCAAUUGCGAAGGCAGCUUACUAAAGUGUCAUUGACGCUGAGGCACGAAAGCGUGGGGAU
rnacentral:rRNA from 1 species